rnacentral:rRNA from 1 species
AAGAGUUUGAUCAUGGCUCAGAUUGAACGCUGGCGGCAGGCCUAACACAUGCAAGUCGAGCGGUAGCACAGAGAGCUUGCUCUCGGGUGACGAGCGGCGGACGGGUGAGUAAUGUCUGGGAAACUGCCUGAUGGAGGGGGAUAACUACUGGAAACGGUAGCUAAUACCGCAUAACGUCGCAAGACCAAAGUGGGGGGACCUUCGGGCCUCAUGCCAUCAGAUGUGCCCAGAUGGGAUUAGCUAGUAGGUGGGGUAACGGCUCACCUAGGCGACGAUCCCUAGCUGGUCUGAGAGGAUGACCAGCCACACUGGAACUGAGACACGGUCCAGACUCCUACGGGAGGCAGCAGUGGGGAAUAUUGCACAAUGGGCGCAAGCCUGAUGCAGCCAUGCCGCGUGUGUGAAGAAGG